CCAGCACCUUGCCUUCUGCCUCCCAGAGGUGGCCAGUUUGUACUGGUAUGGCUGCACUGGCUACUCAAAUAUUAAUUUUUCUGUACUGACUGGUAAAAGCUGAUGCUUCUAGUACCACCUGGGCACUCCCUGCCGCCCCCAGAACCCCUCAGACUUCCUCUUGAUCCAGCACCUAAAUGGUUAAUCUCCAGCACAGCUAUUGGCAUCAGUUCUGUGGUUAAAUAUUUUGGUAUCAC
rnacentral:lncRNA from 1 species